rnacentral:rRNA from 1 species
GUCGAGAAUAAUUCACAAUGGACGAAAGUCUGAUGGUGCAACGCCGCGUGGAGGAUGAAGGUCUUCGGAUUGUAAACUCCUGUCAUCGGGGAGUAAGACCUGGCGGUAAAUAGCCGACAGGGUUGAUAGUACCCGAAGAGGAAGGGACGGCUAACUUCGUGCCAGCAGCCGCGGUAAUACGAAGGUCCCAAGCGUUGUUCGGAAUCACUGGGCGUAAAGGGAGCGUAGGCGGCGUGGUAAGUCAGAUGUGAAAUCCCGGGGCUCAACCCCGGAACUGCAUCCGAUACUGCCAUGCUUGAGGGUUGGAGAGGUAGCUGGAAUUCUCGGUGUAGCAGUGAAAUGCGUGGAUAUCGAGAGGAACACUCGUGGCGAAGGCGAGCUACUGGACAACAUCUGACGCUGAGGCUCGAAGGCCAGGGGAGCAAAAGGGAUUAGAUACCCGAGUAGUCC